AGACGGUUAUGAACGCUCGUAAUCUGCUUCCC
rnacentral:scRNA from 1 species